rnacentral:rRNA from 1 species
GGUCUCAGUUCAGAUUGCAGGCUGCAACCCGCCUGCAUGAAGUCGGAAUUGCUAGUAAUCGCGGAUCAGCAUGCCGCGGUGAAUACGUUCCCGGGCCUUGUACACACCGCCCGUCACACCAUGGGAGCCGGUAAUACCCGAAGUCAGUAGUCCAACCUCGUGAGGGCGCUGCCGAAGGUAGGAUUGGCGACUGGGGUGAAGUCGUAACAAGGUAGC